rnacentral:rRNA from 1 species
GAUGAACGCUGGCGGCGUGCCUAAUACAUGCCAGUCGAGCGAACAGAUAAGGAGCUUGCUCCUUUGACGUUAGCGGCGGACGGGUGAGUUACACGUGGAUAACCUACCUAUAAGACUGGGAUAACUUCGGGAAACCGGAGCUAAUACCGGAUAACAUAUUGAACCGCAUGGUUCAAUAGUGAAAGGCGGCUUUGCUGUCACUUAUAGAUGGAUCCGCGCCGUAUUAGCUAGUUGGUAAGGUAACGGCUUACCAAGGCAACGAUACGUAGCCGACCUGAGAGGGUGAUCGGCCACACUGGAACUGAGACACGGUCCAGACUCCUACGGGAGGCAGCAGUAGGGAAUCUUCCGCAAUGGGCGAAAGCCUGACGGAGCAACGCCGCGUGAGUGAUGAAGGUCUUCGGAUCGUAAAACUCUGUUAUCAGGGAAGAACAAAUGUGUAAGUAACUGUGCACAUCUUGACGGUACCUGAUCAGAAAGCCACGGCUAACUACGUG